GAUCAUGGCUCAGGAUGAACGCUGGCGGCGUGCUUAACACAUGCAAGUCGAACGAAGCACUUAUCUUUGAUUCUUCGGAUGAAGAGGUUUGUGACUGAGUGGCGGACGGGUGAGUAACGCGUGGGUAACCUGCCUCAUACAGGGGGAUAACAGUUAGAAAUGACUGCUAAUACCGCAUAAGACCACAGGGCCGCAUGACCUGGUGGGAAAAACUCCGGUGGUAUGAGAUGGACCCGCG
rnacentral:rRNA from 1 species